CCUACGGGACGCACCAGUAGGGAAUCUUCGGCAAUGGACGAAAGUCUGACCGAGCAACGCCGCGUGAGUGAAGAAGGUUUUCGGAUCGUAAAACUCUGUUGUUAGAGAAGAACAAGUAGGAGAGUAACUGCUCUUACCUUGACGGUAUCUAACCAGAAAGCCACGGCUAACUACGUGCCAGCAGCCGCGGUAAUACGUAGGUGGCAAGCGUUGUGCGGAUUUAUUGGGCGUAAAGCGAGCGCAGGCGGUCUUUUAAGUCUGAUGUGAAAGCCCUCGGCUCAACCGAGGAAGGUCAUUGGAAACUGGAGGACUUGAGUGCAGAAGUGGGGAGUGGAAUUCCAUGUGUAGCGGUGAAAUGCGUAGAUAUAUGGAGGAACACCAGUGGCGAAGGCGAUUCUCUGGUCUGUAACUGACGCUGAGGCUCGAAAGCGUGGGGAGCAAACAGGAUUAGAUACCCUUGUAGUC
rnacentral:rRNA from 1 species